CAUUAAUUGUUAAUUGUCAAUGGUUAAUGGUUAUGCGUGGUACACGCCGAAUCAUGUACCUGAAAAAUAACCAUUAACAACUAACAAUUGGAAAACAGCCCUGAAAGGGCUCAUUAAUUCAGCCCAAUGCGAAGCGUUGGGAAACAGGGCGACCCCUCGGCGGAGGGCUGAAAGCCUGACGUAAUUCAGUUGUUAAUUGUCAAUUGUCAAUUGUUAUGCCGGGUACACGGUAUCCGAACGCCGCCCUUUGUCAUUCCGAACGUAGUGAGGAAUCUCACGGGGAAGAGGGAAGAGAUUCUUCGCUUACGCUCUGAAUGACAAAUUAAUUGUUAAUUGUCAAUGGUUAAUUGUUAUGCGUGGUACACGCCGAAUCAUGUAUUUAGAAAAUAACCAUUAACAAUUAACCAUUGACCAUUCAUUUCGGCGUUCGUCCAUGGCCUCGGGCGGUGAGCCGACGGAGCAGCGAGCAGCAGGGCGAUAGAAAAUCAGGCUGUCCGAGCGAAGCGAGUUACCUGAUUUUCCGCCCUACGAGCGUCGCGAAGGCGUGUGAAGCGCACGAAGCCUUGACUUUUUGGUUACUUUUGGGUCAAGCCAAAAGUAACGGAAAGAGCGCUCUGAAUGACAAAAGACCGAACGCAGAGGCGUUCGGAUGUGUCCAUUCGCGAAAUUCGCGUUCGUACAAACAGCAAAAUUGAGUAAUUUACUCAUUGCGUAACUUGGAGAGGCUGUUGUAUCUUUGUACCGUUAAGAACAAUAAACAGGAACGGUCAUAAAACAAAGAGGCAGACAAACGCAGCCGAUAACACCUCGAACAAGUGUGUUCGAGAAGACAUUAACAGUUAAAUGACAUAGAAUAUGCGCCGGGCGUAUACAUGCUUAUGGGGAUGCCCCAUACGUGCUUAUGGGGGCGGCGCAUACGUACCUGUCAAAUUAUGUCAGGCUUUCAGCCCUCCCAACGGGGUCGGGGAAUCGAUACCCCACCCUUACGGGAUGGGGCUGAAAUAUACCGGGCUUUCAGCCCUUGGGCCUCGGGCGAGCUAACCCCUUCGGGGCGUUGAGGUGUUGAGGUGUUCGAUUGUUGAUCUGU
rnacentral:sRNA from 1 species